GCAGGGCGACUCUCCGGGAGGCAGCAUGGGGGAAUAUGGGACAAGGGGCGCAGGCCUGAUCCAGCCUUGCCGCGGGAGUGAUGAAGGCCCUAGGGUUGUAAAGCUCUUUCACCGGUAAAAAUAAGGACGGUAACCGGAAAAAAACCCCCGGCAAAUUUCGGGCCAGCACCCGCGGUAAUACAAAGGGGGCUAGCGUUGUUCGAAAUUACGGGGCGUAAAGCGCACGUAGGCGGACUUUUAAUUCAGGGGUGAAAUCCCGGGGCUCAACCCCGGAACUGCCUUUGAUACUGGGUGUCUAGAGUCCGGAAGAGGUGAGUGGAAUUCCAAGUGUAGAGUUGAAAUUCGUAAAUUUUCGGAGGACCACCAUUGGCGAAGGCGGCUCACUGGUCCGGAAACUGACGCUAAGGUGGCGAAGGCGUGGGGGAGCAAACCAGGAUUAAGAUUACCCCUGGUAGUCCCACCGCCGUAAACGAUUGAAAGGUUAGCCCGUCGGGCAGUUUACUUGUUUCGGUGGGCGCACCUAACGCAUUAAACAUUCCGCCUGGGGGAGUACGGGUCCGCAAGAAUUAAAACUCAAAGGAAUUUGACGGGGGCCCGCCACAAGCGGUGGAGCAUGUUGGUUUAAUUUCGGAAGCAACGGCGCAAAACCUUUACCAGCCCUUGACAUCCCCGGUCGCGGAUACGAGAGAUCGUAUCCUUCAGUUCGGCUGGACCGGAGACAGGUGCUGCAUGGCUGUCGUCAGCUCGUGUCGUGAGAUGUUGGGUUAAGUCCCGCAACGAGCGCAACCCUCGCCCUUAGUUGCCAGCAUUCAGUUGGGCACUCUAAGGGGACUGCCGGUGAUAAGCCGAGAGGAAGGUGGGGAUGACGUCAAGUCCUCAUGGCCCUUACGGGCUGGGCUACACACGUGCUACAAUGGUGGUGACAGUGGGCAGCGAGACCGCGAGGUCGAGCUAAUCUCCAAAAGCCAUCUCAGUUCGGAUUGCACUCUGCAACUCGAGUGCAUGAAGUUGGAAUCGCUAGUAAUCGCAGAUCAGCAUGCUGCGGGAAUACGUUCCCGGGCCUUGUACACACCGCCCGUCACACCAUGGGAGUUGGUUCUACCGAAGGUAGUGCGCUAACCGCAAGGAG
rnacentral:rRNA from 1 species